AGCCGGAAGACGCUGGAAGAGGGGAUUGAAAAUCCCCGUGUCGGGGGUUCGAUUCCCUCCCCGGCCACCA
rnacentral:tRNA from 1 species